GAUGAAGAACGCAGCGAAAUGCGAUAAGUAAUGUGAAUUGCAGAAUUCAGUGAAUCAUCGAGUCUUUGAACGCACAUUGCGCCCCCUGGCAUUCCGGGGGGCAUGCCUGUCCGAGCGUCAUUGCUGCCCUCAAGCACGGCUUGUGUGUUGGGUCGCCGUCCCCCUCCGGGGGGACGGGCCCGAAAGGCAGCGGCGGCACCGGGUCCGGUCCUCGAGCGUAUGGGGCUUCGUCACCCGCUCUGUAGGGCCGGCCGGCUGUCUGCAGACAACCUAUUUAAUUUUCUUCAGGUUGACCUCGGAUCAGGUAGGGAUACCCGCUGAACUUAAGCAUAUCAAUAAGCGGAGGA
rnacentral:misc_RNA from 1 species